GGCCCUUCGGGGUACUCGAGCGGCGAACGGGUGAGUAACACGUGAGCAACCUGCCCUAGGCUUUGGGAUAACCCCGGGAAACCGGGGCUAAUACCGAAUAGGACCUCUGACCGCAUGGUUGGUGGUGGAAAGUUUUUCGGCCUGGGAUGGGCUCGCGGCCUAUCAGCUUGUUGGUGGGGUGAUGGCCUACCAAGGCGACGACGGGUAGCCGGCCUGAGAGGGCGACCGGCCACACUGGGACUGAGACACGGCCCAGACUCCUACGGGAGGCAGCAGUGGGGAAUAUUGCACAAUGGGCGGAAGCCUGAUGCAGCGACGCCGCGUGAGGGAUGACGGCCUUCGGGUUGUAAACCUCUUUCAGCAGGGACGAAGCGUAAGUGACGGUACCUGCAGAAGAAGCGCCGGCCAACUACGUGCCAGCAGCCGCGGUAAGACGUAGGGCGCGAGCGUUGUCCGGAUUUAUUGGGCGUAAAGAGCUCGUAGGCGGCUUGUCGCGUCGACUGUGAAAACCCGCAGCUCAACUGCGGGCCUGCAGUCGAUACGGGCAGGCUAGAGUUCGGUAGGGGAGACUGGAAUUCCUGGUGUAGCGGUGAAAUGCGCAGAUAUCAGGAGGAACACCGGUGGCGAAGGCGGGUCUCUGGGCCGAUACUGACGCUGAGGAGCGAAAGCGUGGGGAGCGAACAGGAUUAGAUACCCUGGUAGUCCACGCUGUAAACGUUGGGC
rnacentral:rRNA from 1 species